CUAUACAAGUCCCUGAUACUAUAGAGAACUAUUGUCAGAGCUGCUGUUGUUGAAACGUAUUCAACACCUUCUGACCAAUGAGAUUAAAGAAUUCAUCAGCGCUGUGGUAUUAUAAUCUAAAUUAAGUCAGGGUUAGGGUUAGAUGUGGGUAAUAUUUGCCACUUAAUGGAUAAUUCUUCAUUUAGGAAAUCCUUUGAGCAGGUAACAUAAAUGCCUGAGAUUUUCUUUGCUCGAAUACCGACGUUGUCCUCGGCCGCCCCGCACUCCCCACGCUCUAAUUUCAUACAGCUGAUGGGUUCAUGUUUUUUCUUUCUUUUUUUUAAAUCUUACUGUCGUGUUCUAGCGUCUGUGCCGCAGUUCACAAACUCACCCACUAUGAUCGUGAUGGUCGGUCUGCCUGCCAGAGGAAAAACCUACAUCUCCAAAAAGCUAACACGCUACCUCAACUGGAUCGGCGUUCCCACGAAAGUGUUCAAUGUUGGACAGUACCGCAGGGAAGCCGUUCAGUCCUACAAGAGCUUUGAGUUUUUCCGUCCAGACAACGAAGAGGCCAUGAAGAUUCGCAAAGCUUGUGCACUUGCUGCCCUAAACGACGUAGGUGCCUACUUCAGUCUGGAGCAGGGCCAAGUCGGGGUUUUUGACGCCACAAACACAACUCGUGAGAGGAGGGAGGUCAUUCUGUCGUUCGCCAAAGAGAACGGCUACAAGGUCUUUACAAAAACCCGAACACGAUCGCUUCUUCUUCGACACUCAGAUAUAACUAACUGGCGAAGUCGAGUUACGGUUAACACCUCCAUGGUGUUUUUCGUGGAGUCCGUGUGUGAUGAUCCUGAGAUCAUCGCGGAAAAUAUCAAGCAAGUGAAGCUCAGCAGCCCCGACUACGUCGGCUGUGAUAAAGAGGAAGCCGUGAAAGAUUUUUUAAAGAGAAUCGAGUGCUAUAAGAUCACUUACGUCCCUCUGGAUGACGACAAAGACAGAAACCUGUCCUACAUAAAGAUUUUUAACGUAGGAAGCAGGUAUUUGGUGAAUCGUGUUCAGGAUCACAUCCAGAGCCGGAUCGUUUAUUACCUGAUGAAUAUUCACGUUACGCCGCGCACCAUCUACCUGUGCCGGCACGGAGAGAGCGAGCUCAACUUGCUCGGCCGCAUCGGCGGGGAUUCGGGUCUCUCACCGCGUGGAAAUAAGUUUGCGGAGGCUCUGGGUAAGUACAUCAGGAGUCAGUGUAUCUUGGACCUGAAGAUUUGGACGAGUCACAUGAAGAGGACGAUCCAGACUGCCGAGGGAGUCGGGGUUCCGUACGAACAGUGGAAAGCUCUCAAUGAGAUCGACGCAGGUGUGUGUGAGGAGAUGACGUAUGAAGAGAUUCAGGACAACUUUCCCGAAGAGUUUGCACUGAGAGACCAAGACAAAUAUCGCUACCGUUACCCAAAGGGCGAGUCGUAUGAGGAUUUGGUUCACAGACUGGAGCCCGUGAUCAUGGAGCUGGAGCGUCAGAAGAACGUUCUGGUCAUCUGUCACCAGGCCGUCAUGCGCUGUCUGCUCGCUUAUUUCCUGGACAAAAGUGCAGAGGAGCUGCCGUAUUUAAAAUGUCCUCUGCAUACAGUACUGAAGCUCACGCCUGUAGCUUACGGCUGUAAAGUCGAGUCGGUUUUCCUGAAAGUCGAUGCAGUGAACACACACCGAGACAGGCCUGUGCAGAGUGACGAAGCUGAGCGCAGUCACACUCCACCAUACCGUCACACUCGUGUUCAGCCCAUGGCUAGUCCCGCCCCGACCAAGGCCCCGUGCCUACCAGAGCUCGAACUCUCCGAGCUUAGCUUACAGGUGGAUUUAAUAUUCUAAAUGGGGAGCCAAGGAAAUCAGCACAGGGACUUGCAAUACCUGAUUCUGAAUAUGUGCAAAUUUCCCCGUGUAAAUAAUCAACAACGAAUUCAUACGAACGCUAAUAAAUGAUGGAACAGAGACUAAAAUAUAGAGAGACUGCUGAAUGUUCUGGAAAUUACCAACGUCAGCGUGGACCGAGAUGAUGAGGACGCUCUCCUGACGGUUCCUGAACACAUCUAAAUGCAAGAAGAAUAAACUGAGUAUUGUUAAAGCAGGAUUAAAUUCAGUGAUUCAGGGGUGAUCAGUUAGCUCUGGCCGCUUUUGAGGGCUUCAUCACAGUGAAAUACCUUUUCCUCAGUUUUAAAGAGGACUGGAUUUACAGGGUGAGGAAACAGUUGGUCUGAUCUUCUUGAGUAGUAUUUAACAGGGUGAAAUACUGGAACUGAUUUUCUAGGAUGUCGUUCCUAGUUUUUUUUUAUAUAUACUGGCUCAUAGGAGUGGGCGAUAUGAUAAAAAUAUCAUAUCACGAUACCUGAUAUGCUCGAUAUAAUAUGUGAUAUGCAUCACGAUAUUUAAGUUUGUUCACAGACUACUGGGAAAAAAACAGUGUUGCAUGUAAAAAAAAAAAAAAAGAAAGAAAGAAAAA